GGAAUUUUGGGCAAUGGGCGAAAGCCUGACCCAGCAACGCCGCGUGAAGGAUGAAGUAUUUCGGUAUGUAAACUUCGAAAGAAUGGGAAGAAUAAAUGACGGUACCAUUUAUAAGCUCCGGCUAACUCCGUGCCAGCAGCCGCGGUAAUACGUAGGGAGCCAGCGUUGUUCGGAUUUACUGGGCGUAAAGGGCGCGUAGGCGGCGUGUCAAGUCAAUUGUGAAAUCUCCGGGCUUAACUCGGAACGGCCAAUUGAUACUGUCAUGCUAGAGUGCAGAAAGGGCAAUCGGAAUUCUUGGUGUAGCGGUGAAAUGCGUAGAUAUCAAGAGGAACACCUGAGGCGAAGGCGGGUUGCUAGGCUGACACUGACGCUGAGGCACGAAAGCGUGGGGAGCAAAC
rnacentral:rRNA from 1 species